AUCUUUGCGCUUGGGGCAAUGACGCAGCUAGUGAGGUUCUAACCGAGGCGCGUCUAUUGCUGGUUCAAAAAGAAAAUUGUAAUGGAUUAAUAAAAAAAUAGAAAUAAAAAAUAAAAUAUUUGUGAAACUCUAUGAUGA
rnacentral:snRNA from 1 species